GAUGAACGCUGGCGGCGUGCCUAAUACAUGCAAGUUGAGCGAACAGAUGAGGAGCUUGCUCCUCUGACGUUAGCGGCGGACGGGUGAGUAACACGUGGAUAACCUACCUAUAAGACUGGGAUAACUUCGGGAAACCGGAGCUAAUACCGGAUAAUAUAUUGAACCGCAUGGUUCAAUAGUGAAAGACGGUUUUGCUGUCACUUAUAGAUGGAUCCGCGCCGCAUUAGCUAGUUGGUAAGGUAACGGCUUACCAAGGCAACGAUGCGUAGCCGACCUGAGAGGGUGAUCGGCCACACUGGAACUGAGACACGGUCCAGACUCCUACGGGAGGCAGGAGUAGGGAAUCUUCCGCAAUGGGCGAAAGCCUGACGGAGCAACGCCGCGUGAGUGAUGAAGGUCUUCGGAUCGUAAAACUCUGUUAUUAGGGAAGAACAAAUGUGUAAGUAACUAUGCACGUCUUGACGGUACCUAAUCAGAAAGCCACGGCUAACUACGUG
rnacentral:rRNA from 1 species